rnacentral:rRNA from 1 species
UUAACACAUGCAAGUCGAACGGUACAGGGAGCUUGCUCCCCUCGAUCAGUGGCGAACGGGUGAGUAACACGUGAGUAACCUGCCCCAGACUCUGGGAUAACAUCGGGAAACCGGUGCUAAUACCGGAUAUGAGACGAGACUGCAUGGUCAUCGUCUGGAAAGAUUUAUCGGUCUGGGAUGGACUCGCGGCCUAUCAGCUAGUUGGUGAGGUAACGGCUCACCAAGGCGACGACGGGUAGCCGGCCUGAGAGGGCGAACGGCCACACUGGAACUGAGACACGGUCCAGACUCCUACGUGAGGCAGCAGUGGGGAAUAUUGCACAAUGGGCGCAAGCCUGAUGCAGCGACGCCGCGUGGGGGAUGAAGGCCUUCGGGUUGUAAACCCCUUUCAGCAGGGAAGAAGCGAAAGUGACGGUACCUGCAGAAGAAGCGCC